UGGGGAAUUUUGGACAAUGGGCGAAAGCCUGAUCCAGCAAUGCCGCGUGUGCGAAGAAGGCCUUCGGGUUGUAAAGCACUUUUGUCCGGAAAGAAAUCCUUGGCUCUAAUACAGUCGGGGGAUGACGGUACCGGAAGAAUAAGCACCGGCUAACUACGUGCCAGCAGCCGCGGUAAUACGUAGGGUGCAAGCGUUAAUCGGAAUUACUGGGCGUAAAGCGUGCGCAGGCGGUUUGCUAAGACCGAUGUGAAAUCCCCGGGCUCAACCUGGGAACUGCAUUGGUGACUGGCAGGCUAGAGUAUGGCAGAGGGGGGUAGAAUUCCACGUGUAGCAGUGAAAUGCGUAGAGAUGUGGAGGAAUACCGAUGGCGAAGGCAGCCCCCUGGGCCAAUACUGACGCUCAUGCACGAAAGCGUGGGGAGCAAACAGGAUUAGAUACCCUGGUAGUCCACGCCCUAAAACGAUGUCAACUAGUUGUUGGGGAUUCAUUUCCUUAGUAACGUAGCUAACGCGUGAAGUUGACCGCCUGGGGAGUACGGUCGCAAGAUUAAAACUUAAAGGAAUUGACGGGGUCAUAGCUG
rnacentral:rRNA from 1 species